CGAGUGGCGCACGGGUGCGUAACGCGUAUACAAUCUGCCUCUUACAGGGGGAUAGCCUUUGGAAACGAAGAAUAAUACCCCAUAAUAUACGGAUAUCGCAUGGUAAUCGUAUUAAAGAUUUAUCGGUAAGAGAUGAGUAUGCGUCCUAUUAGCUAGAUGGUGUGGUAACGGCACACCAUGGCAACGAUAGGUAGGGGCCCUGAGAGGGGGAUCCCCCACACUGGUACUGAGACACGGACCAGACUCCUACGGGAGGCAGCAGUGAGGAAUAUUGGACAAUGGGCGCGAGCCUGAUCCAGCCAUGCCGCGUGCAGGAAGACUGCCCUAUGGGUUGUAAACUGCUUUUGUACGGGAAGAAACCCACCUACGUGUAGGUGGCUGACGGUACCGUAAGAAUAAGCAUCGGCUAACUCCGUGCCAGCAGCCGCGGUAAUACGGAGGAUGCAAGCGUUAUCCGGAAUCAUUGGGUUUAAAGGGUCCGUAGGUGGAUCGAUAAGUCAGAGGUGAAAGCCUGCAGCUCAACUGUAGAACUGCCUUUGAUACUGUCGGUCUUGAAUUAUUGUGAAGUGGUUAGAAUAUGUAGUGUAGCGGUGAAAUGCAUAGAUAUUACAUAGAAUACCGAUUGCGAAGGCAGAUCACUAACAAUAUAUUGACACUGAUGGACGAAAGCGUGGGGAGCGAACGGGAUUAGAUACCCCGGUAGUCCACGCCGUAAACGAUGGUCACUAGCUGUUCGGACUUCGGUCUGAGUGGCUAAGCGAAAGUGAUAAGUGACCCACCUGGGGAGUACGUUCGCAAGAAUGAAACUCAA
rnacentral:rRNA from 1 species